rnacentral:antisense_RNA from 1 species
AAUUAUGGCGGUUGUACGCGGGGCACUUUCGAGUGCGCCGGGCUCCUGGAUCCUCGGUCUUCCACACCCGCGUACGACUGCCACCCUC